AAGCAGCCGCGGUAAUUCCAGCUCCAAUAGCGUAUAUUAAAGUUGUUGUGGUUAAAAAGCUCGUAGUUGGAUCUCAACAGCCUUGAAGCGGUUAACUUUGUAGUUUUACUGCUUUAUAGGCUGUGCUUUUGCUGGAGGUUUAGGGGUGCUCUUGAUCGAGUGUCUCUGGAUGCCAGCAGGUUUACUUUGAAAAAAUUAGAGUGCUCAAAGCAGGCUAAAAUGCCUGAAUAUUCGUGCAUGGAAUAAUAGAAUAGGAUGUCGAUCCUAUUUUGUUGGUUUUCGGGACUCGACAUAAUGAUAAAUAGGGACAGUCGGGGGCAUUUGUAUUCAAACGACAGAGGUGAAAUUCUUGGACCGUUUGAAGACAAACUACUGCGAAAGCAUUUGCCAAGAAUGUUUUCAUUAAUCAAGAACGAAAGUUAGAGGUUCGAAGGCGAUUAGAUACCGCCCUAGUUCUAACCAUAAACGAUGCCAGCUAGCGAUCUGCCUGCGUUUUUACUGUAGACUGGGCAGGAAGCUUCCGGGAAACCAAAGCAUUUGGGUUCCAGGGGAAGUAUGGUUGCAAAGCUGAAACUUAAAGGAAUUGACGGAAGGGCACCACCAGGAGUGGAGCCUGUGGCUUAAUUUGACUCAACACGGGAAAUCUCACCAGGCCCGGACACUGGAAGGAUUGACAGAUUGAUAGCUCUUUCUUGAUUCGGUGGGUGGUGGUGCAUGGGCCGUUCUUAGUUGGUGGAGUGAUUUGUCUGGUUAAUUCCGAUAACGAACGAGACUCUGUCCUGCUAAAUAGUUUCUACUUCUCUUUUGAGUAGAAAUUUCUUCUUAGAGGGACUGGUGACUCUUAGUCACACGAGAUUGAGCAAUAACAGGUCUGUGA
rnacentral:rRNA from 1 species